GUAAAAAUCGGUGACGUUUAUUAUUUGUGUUCUUACAAAAUAAUAAGUUUAAACAAAAACCAAAAAAAUGGCGUCGUUUUUGUUGCACGAUAUUAUUUCACUCGCGGAACACCUUCGUUUCGUGGCAACAUCCAAAACAAAACUCCGGUCACGUGAUACGGAAUACACGAUUCAUCACGUGUCAACAAACGGUGCAGAAAAACGAACUUUUGGCUGCCAUUUUUGUAAGAUCGAUGAAAAAAAAUUGAGAACUUGAGAGGGGCAAUUCAAUAAUGGCAAACGUUUCUCGAGCGCACGGGGAAGUGCGUUAUACUUGUUGAAUUCAAAUAUGGAGUUUGAUAAUGAUUACGAAACUCGAGCAAGCAUGAAAAUGGCCACCGCAUCAACACACAUGCACAGACACACUAACCACACACAACCAGAAACGCACUUGCACACGGCAUCAAAAUGGUGCGUUGUGAAUUCCGAUGCACCCGAAAGCCCGAAAAAACAUCGACGCACUUUCGGAAAACCUUUGAAUUGCGACAAAAAAUGGAACAGAUGAAAAAACAAGUGAAAUCACUGAGACAGCGUUGAGAUAAACAUCGCUGGCGAAGCAGACGAUUUUUUUCCACUCCCAAUUCGUAGACCAACCUCAAAUCUCGUUUUUCCCCCAUUUUACUGUGCCGAAACAUGGAGAAUAUAUUUUUUUUUUUCAUUUUAAAACUGUUAUUGAUGUGAGUUUUAUUUCAUUUUGUUAGUUAUCAUUGCUAGAUUUUGGAUUGCGAGUCCUCGUUAGCAAAUGUGAACGAAAAAUACCCAACUGGGCCAAACCCGAACACAUGAAACCAAGUAUGCGUUUUCACAAUCGUGUCCUCAACUUCAAAAUUUCUUCCUUUUUUCCCCAUUGUUGAUCAAAAUUUACUCUCGAAAAUCUUUUGCAAAUACGUUAUUUCAACUUUUUUUUUCAAAUAUUAACUAACACGAUUUUUUCCUCUCUGGAGUUCCCGGAAGGGCGACUGAAGGUCAUUCUACUGAUUUAACACUCUUUCCCAUGUUUUUUUCGAUUUUUUUCCGACGAUUUUUCGAAAACUUACGUGCUCGAGGAGACAGACGGUGUCCUUAGAAAAUUUUACCAAGACGGACAGCAUCGCAAGCACACUCUACACAACACCCAGCUGAUCGGAACGCCAUGUUGUGACGUCACGCCUCACCGUCGAUCUGAAGUACGUCACUAAUCAACUCGAAUGUCGAUAUAUCGAAUGUUCCAAGUUUACGCGGCGGGAUAUUCAAACCCAAUUUAAAACAAAAAAAUCGCACUUUUAUCCCACUUCGGUUUGCUUCAAAUGAUUUUUUUUGCAUAUGCACGUUAAUACUACUAGGAGGAAUUGGGACAAAUGAUGCUGGAAAAAAAUCUGAAAUAACUGUCAAUAAUAAGUAUUUAUUUCA